UAGCUAGUUGGUGAGGUAAAGGCUUACCAAGGCGACGAUCUGUAGCGGGUCUGAGAGGAUGAUCCGCCACACUGGAACUGAGACACGGUCCAGACUCCUACGGGAGGCAGCAGUGGGGAAUUUUGGACAAUGGGGGCAACCCUGAUCCAGCCAUGCCGCGUGAGUGAAGAAGGCCUUCGGGUUGUAAGCUCUUUCGGCCGGGAAGAAAUCGCAUGGGCCAAUACCCUGUGUGGAUGACGGUACCGGAAUAAGAAGCACCGGCUAACUACGUGCCAGCAGCCGCGGUAAUACGUAGGGUGCGAGCGUUAAUCGGAAUUACUGGGCGUAAAGCGUGCGCAGGCGGUUUUGUAAGACAGGCGUGAAAUCCCCGGGCUUAACCUGGGAACUGCGUUUGUGACUGCAAGGCUAGAGUACGGCAGAGGGGGGUGGAAUUCCACGUGUAGCAGUGAAAUGCGUAGAGAUGUGGAGGAACACCAAUGGCGAAGGCAGCCCCCUGGGUCGAUACUGACGCUCAUGCACGAGAGCGUGGGUAGCAAACAGGAUUAGAUACCCUGGUAGUCCACGCCCUAAACUAUGUCAACUAUUGUUGGGUGGGUAAAACCAUUUAGUACCGUAGCUAACGCGUGAAGUUGACCGCCUGGGGAGUACGGCCGCAAGGUUAAAACUCAAAGGAAUUGACGGGGACCCGCACAAGCGGUGGAUGAUGUGGAUUAAUUCGAUGCAACGCGAAAAACCUUACCUACCCUUGACAUGCCAGGAACUUGCCAGAGAUGGCUUGGUGCCCGAAAGGGAGCCUGGACACAGGUGCUGCAUGGCUGUCGUCAGCUCGUGUCGUGAGAUGUUGGGUUAAGUCCCGCAACGAGCGCAACCCUUGUCGUUAAUUGCCAUCAUUUGGUUGGGCACUUUAACGAGACUGCCGGUGACAAACCGGAGGAAGGUGGGGAUGACGUCAAGUCCUCAUGGCCCUUAUGGGUAGGGCUUCACACGUCAUACAAUGGUCGGUACAAAGGGUUGCCAAGCCGCGAGGCGGAGCCAAUCCCAGAAAGCCGAUCGUAGUCCGGAUUGCAGGCUGCAACUCGCCUGCAUGAAGUCGGAAUCGCUAGUAAUCGUGGAUCAGCAUGUCACGGUGAAUACGUUCCCGGGUCUUGUACACACCGCCCGUCACACCAUGGGAGCGGGUUCCGCCAGAAGUGGGUAGCCUAACCGCAAGGAGGGCGCUUACCACGGCGGGGUUCGUGACCGGGGUGAAGUCGUAACAAGGUAGCCGUAGGGGAACCUGCGGCUG
rnacentral:rRNA from 1 species